AGAAAAAAUCAGUGUUGAGUCAAUAGCCACAAAAACUUAGAAUUAAUAGAAAUGUCAUGCAGAAAUGUCAGUUAAAAACCCACUAAAAAUCGGGUGAACAUGCAUCACCAUUCAUUGGGUGAGCUAGAGAUUUUGUCAAAAAUUGGAUGAUACCCCACAAAAUCGAGCAGUUGGCAGGUUUGUUAGCGGCAUAGUGCGGCCGGAUCACGUUGUGUUCAAGCUGUUUUUUGUAUAUGUAUGCAGUCAACGUUUGAAGCGAAUUCAGGAAAUUAGGGUCUAUAACGGUACUAAUUGUUUAAAUGGCAACAUGAUAUAUAUAUCUUGCUUGUGAUGUUACUCUGAGUGUAUAUCCACACCGGGCAGGCUUGCAAAAUAUGCCUGGCCACGGUGGGAAUCGAACCUACAACCUUUGGAAUACUAGCCCAAUGCUCUGCCAACUGAGCUACGCGGUCAGGUCGGUUCAAGUAUGUUAUAUUUCGGAACUGCAUGAUUCUAGUUCCUUCGAUAUCGA